rnacentral:rRNA from 1 species
GCAGUCGAGCGGUAACAUUUCAAAGCUUGCUUUGAAGAUGACGAGCGGCGGACGGGUGAGUAAUGCUUGGGAAUAUGCCUUAUGGUGGGGGACAACAGUUGGAAACGACUGCUAAUACCGCAUAAUGUCUACGGACCAAAGGGGGGGAUCUUCGGACCUCUCGCCAUUUGAUUAGCCCAAGUGAGAUUAGCUAGUUGGUGAGGUAAUGGCUCACCAAGGCGACGAUCUCUAGCUGGUUUGAGAGGAUGAUCAGCCACACUGGGACUGAGACACGGCCCAGACUCCUACGGGAGGCAGCAGUGGGGAAUAUUGCACAAUGGGCGCAAGCCUGAUGCAGCCAUGCCGCGUGUGUGAAGAAGGCCUUCGGGUUGUAAAGCACUUUCAGUAAGGAGGAAAGGGAUGUAGUUAAUAACUGCAUUCUGUGACGUUACUUACAGAAGAAGCACCGGCUAACUUCGUGCCAGCAGCCGCGGUAAUACGAGGGGUGCAAGCGUUAAUCGGAAUUACUGGGCGUAAAGCGUUCGUAGGCGGUUGAUUAAGCAAGAUGUGAAAGCCCAGGGCUCAACCUUGGAACUGCAUUUUGAACUGGUCAACUAGAGUACUGUAGAGGGUGGUGGAAUUUCC